GCACAGAUAGUGUAAUGGAAACAUCACGGUCUCCAAAACUGUAGAUCAAGGUUCAAAUCCUUGUCUGUGCG
rnacentral:tRNA from 1 species